rnacentral:rRNA from 1 species
AUUGAACGCUGGCGGCAGGCCUAACACAUGCAAGUCGAGCGGCAGCACGGGUACUUGUACCCGGUGGCGAGCGGCGGACGGGUGAGUAAUGCCUAGGAAUCUGCCUGGUAGUGGGGGAUAACGCUCGGAAACGGACGCUAAUACCGCAUACGUCCUACGGGAGAAAGCAGGGGACCUUCGGGCCUUGCGCUAUCAGAUGAGCCUAGGUCGGAUUAGCUAGUUGGUGAGGUAACGGCUCACCAAGGCGACGAUCCGUAACUGGUCUGAGAGGAUGAUCAGUCACACUGGAACUGAGACACGGUCCAGACUCCUACGGGAGGCAGCAGUGGGGAAUAUUGGACAAUGGGCGAAAGCCUGAUCCAGCCAUGCCGCGUGUGUGGAGAAGGUCUUCGGAUUGUAAAGCACUUUAAGUUGGGAGGAAGGGCAGUUACCUAAUACGUAUCUGUUUUGACGUUACCGACAGAAUAAGCACCGGCUAACUCUGUG